rnacentral:sRNA from 1 species
CUGAGACCUCCCCAGCCAUGUGGAACUAUGACUGUGAUGAUCCUCUUGUGUCUGCCUUGCCUCAGGCAUCCUUCAGCAGUUCUUCUGAGCUCUCCAGCAGUCAUGGUCCUGGAUUUGCAAGGCUGAAUAGAAGAGAUGGAGCUGGUGGCUGGUCUCCACUUGUGUCUAACAAAUACCAGUGGUUGCAGAUUGACCUUGGAGAGAGAAUGGAGGUUACCGCUGUGGCCACUCAAGGGGGAUAUGGUAGCUCCAACUGGGUGACCAGCUACCUCCUGAUGUUCAGUGAUAGUGGCUGGAACUGGAAACAAUAUCGCCAAGAGGACAGCAUCUGGGGUUUUUCAGGAAAUGCAAAUGCAGACAGUGUUGUGUACUACAGACUCCAGCCUUCUAUCAAAGCCAGAUUUCUGCGCUUCAUCCCUUUGGAAUGGAACCCCAAGGGCAGAAUUGGAAUGCGAAUCGAAGUGUUUGGAUGUGCAUACACAGUAGUGAUCAUGUUUAUAGAUCUAGAGAAGAAAUGUAUAGAAAUAAAUUACUGGUGGGAGAAAGAAAGAAAAAGAA